CAACCUCAACUCAUAUGGGACUACCCCCUGAAUUUAAGCAUAUUAAUUAGGGGAGGAAAAGAAACUAACAAGGAUUUUCUUAGUAGCGGCGAGCGAAAAGAAAUCAGUUCAGCACUAAGUCACUUUGUCUAUAUGGCAAAUGUGAGAUGCAGUGUAUGGAGCGUCAAUAUUCUAGUAUGAGAAAUUAACGAUUUAAGUCCUUCUUAAAUGAGGCCAUUUACCCAUAGAGGGUGCCAGGCCCGUAUAACGUUAAUGAUUACUAGAUGAUGUUUCCAAAGAGUCGUGUUGCUUGAUAGUGCAGCACUAAGUGGGUGGUAAACUCCAUCUAAAACUAAAUAUAACCAUGAGACCGAUAGUAAACAAGUACCGUGAGGGAAAGUUGAAAAGAACUCUGAAUAGAGAGUUAAAUAGUACGUGAAACUGCUUAGAGGUUAAGCCCGAUGAACCUGAAUAUCCGUUAUGGAAAAUUCAUCAUUAAAGUUAUAAUAUUUAAACAAUAUUAUACAAAUAAUGUGCAUUUUUUCCAUAUAAGGACAUUGUAAUCUAUUAACAUAUUAAAUUUAUCAUAAAAUAUGGCUUAUAGUUUAUUCAAAUUAUUAUGCUUGCAUUUUAACAUAGAAUAAAUGUCAUUAAUUUGAUAAAGUGUUGAUAGACUAAUAAGAAUACAGUGCGUUAAUUUUUCGGAAUUAUAUAAUGGCAUAAUUAUCAUUGAUUUUUGUGUUUAUUAUAAGCACUUGUAUGAUUAACAAUGCGAAAGAUUCAAGGAUACCCUUCGG
rnacentral:ncRNA from 1 species